rnacentral:rRNA from 1 species
UACGUAGGGUGCAAGCGUUGUCCGGAAUCAUUGGGCGUAAAGAGCGCGUAGGCGGCCCUGUAAGUCCGCUGUGAAAGUCAAGGGCUCAACCCUUGAAUGCCGGUGGAUACUGCAGGGCUAGAGUCCGGAAGAGGCGAGUGGAAUUCCUGGUGUAGCGGUGAAAUGCGUAGAUAUCAGGAGGAACACCAGUGGCGAAGGCGGCGAUCUGGGCAGAUAUUGACGCUGAUGUGCGAAAGCGUGGGGAGCAAACAGG